CCUACGGGUGGCAGCAGUGAGGAAUAUUGGUCAAUGGACGAGAGUCUGAACCAGCCAAGUAGCGUGAAGGAUGACUGCCCUAUGGGUUGUAAACUUCUUUUAUAUGGGAAUAAAAUGUUCCACGUGUGGGAUUUUGUAUGUACCAUAUGAAUAAGGAUCGGCUAACUCCGUGCCAGCAGCCGCGGUAAUACGGAGGAUCCGAGCGUUAUCCGGAUUUAUUGGGUUUAAAGGGAGCGUAGGUGGAUUGUUAAGUCAGUUGUGAAAGUUUGCGGCUCAACCGUAAAAUUGCAGUUGAAACUGGCAGUCUUGAGUACAGUAGAGGUGAGCGGAAUUCGUGGUGUAGCGGUGAAAUGCUUAGAGAUCACGAAGAACGCCGAUGGCGAAGGCAGUUCACUGGACUGCAACUGACACUGAGGCUCGAAAGUGUGGGUAUCAAACAGGAUUAGAUACCCUUGUAGUC
rnacentral:rRNA from 1 species